GGAAUUGUGGCUCAGUGGCAGAGCACUUGCCUUGUUAAGCAUGAGGCACUGGGUUCGAUCCUCAGCACCA
rnacentral:tRNA from 1 species